ACUUUGCUGAGAAGGAUAAGAGAGACCCACAUCAGAUCUGUCUCAUUAAUGCUCACUGGUGUUUGCACCAUGGCCUGGAUUUCUCUGUUCAUCCUCCUCCUUCAUUGUACAGGGUCUUUCUCCCAACCUGUGCUGACUCAGUUACCCUCUGCUGUUGCCUCUCUGGGAGCCUCAGCCAAACUCACCUGUACCUUGAGUCAACAGCACAGCACCUACAACAUUGCAUGGUACCAGCAACAUCCAGAGAAGGCUCCUAAGUAUUUGAUGUAUGUUACUAAUAGUGGAAGCCACAGUAAGGGGGAUGGGAUCCCUGAACGCUUCACUGGCUCCAGCUCUGGAGCUGAUCGAUAUUUAAGCAUCUCCAACAUGCAGCCAGAGGAUGAAGGUGCCUAUAUCUGUGGUGCCGAUUAUAGCAUUGGAGGACAAUAUGGGUAA